UACGUAGGGUGCGAGCGUUAAUCGGAAUUACUGGGCGUAAAGCGUGCGCAGGCGGCUUACUAAGACAGGUGUGAAAGCCCCGAGCUUAACUUGGGAAUGGCGCUUGUGACUGGUAGGCUGGAGUGUGGCAGAGGGAGGUGGAAUUCCACGUGUAGCAGUGAAAUGCGUAGAGAUGUGGAGGAACACCGGUGGCGAAGGCGGCUCUCUGGACCACGACUGACGCUGAUGCGCGAAAGCUAGGGGAGCAAACAGG
rnacentral:rRNA from 1 species